rnacentral:rRNA from 1 species
CGGAUCAAGGGAGCUUGCUUCCUUGGUUAGUGGCGAACGGGUGAGUAACACGUGAGCAAUCUGCCCCUGACUCUGGGAUAACCUCGGGAAACCGUGGCUAAUACCGGAUAUGACACGCGAAGGCAUCUUCUGUGUGUGGAAAGAAUUUCGGUCAGGGAUGAGCUCGCGGCCUAUCAGCUUGUUGGUGAGGUAAUGGCUCACCAAGGCGACGACGGGUAGCCGGCCUGAGAGGGUGACCGGCCACACUGGGACUGAGACACGGCCCAGACUCCUACGGGAGGCAGCAGUGGGGAAUAUUGCACAAUGGGCGAAAGCCUGAUGCAGCAACGCCGCGUGAGGGACGACGGCCUUCGGGUUGUAAACCUCUUUUGUCAGGGAAGAAGCGAAAGUGACGGUACCUGAAGAAAAAGCACCGGCUAACUACGUGCCAGCAGCCGCGGUAAUACGUAGGGUGCAAGCGUUGUCCGGAAUUAUUGGGCGUAAAGAGCUCGUAGGCGGUCUGUCGCGUCUGCUGUGAAAACCCGAGGCUCAACCUCGGGCCUGCAGUGGGUACGGGCAGACUAGAGUGCGGUAGGGGAGAUUGGAAUUCCUGGUGUAGCGGUGGAAUGCGCAGAUAUCAGGAGGAACACCGAUGGCGAAGGCAGAUCUCUGGGCCGUAACUGACGCUGAGGAGCGAAAGCGUGGGGAGCGAACAGGAUUAGAUACCCUGGUAGUCCACGCCGUAAACGUUGGGAACUAGAUGUGGGGUCCAUUCCACGGAUUCCGUGUCGCAGCUAACGCAUUAAGUUCCCCGCCUGGGGAGUAC